rnacentral:rRNA from 1 species
GACGAACGCUGGCGGCGUGCCUAAUACAUGCAAGUUGAGCGCUGAAGGUUGGUCCUUGUACCAACUGGAUGAGCAGCGAACGGGUGAGUAACGCGUGGGGAAUCUGCCUUUGAGCGGGGGACAACAUUUGGAAACGAAUGCUAAUACCGCAUAAAAACUUUAAACACAAGUUUUAAGUUUGAAAGAUGCAAUUGCAUCACACAAAGAUGAUCCCGCGUUGUAUUAGCUAGUUGGUGAGGUAAAGGCUCACCAAGGCGAUGAUACAUAGCCGACCUGAGAGGGUGAUCGGCCACAUUGGGACUGAGACACGGCCCAAACUCCUACGGGAGGCAGCAGUAGGGAAUCUUCGGCAAUGGACGAAAGUCUGACCGAGCAACGCCGCGUGAGUGAAGAAGGGUUUCGGAUCGUAAAACUCUGUUGGUAGAGAAGAACGUUGGUGAGAGUGGAAAGCUCAUCAAGUGACGGUAACUACCCAGAAAGGGACGGCUAACUACGUG